rnacentral:rRNA from 1 species
CGGUGGAGCAUGUGGUUAAUUCGAUGGUACGCGAGGAACCUUACCAGGGCUUGACAUACGUUGGAAGCGUAUCGAAAGGUGCGUGCCGCUUGCGGCCGGCGUACAGGUGCUGCAUGGCUGUCGUCAGCUCGUGCUGUGAAGUGUUGGGUUAAGUCCCGCAACGAGCGCAACCCCUGCUGCCUGUUGCCACCACGAGAGGUGGGGACUCAGGCGGGACCGCCGGUGACAAACCGGAGGAAGUGGGGACGACGUCAAGUCAUCAUGGCCCUUAUGUCCUGGGCUACACACAUGCUACAAUGGCCGGUACAGAGUGAAGCGAAACCGCGAGGUGAAGCAAAACGCAGAAAGCCGGUCUCAGUACGGAUUGGAGUCUGAAACUCGACUUCAUGAAGUUGGAAUCGCUAGUAAUCGCGCAUCAGCAUGGCGCGGUGAAUACGUUCCCGGGCCUU